AGCUCAGGCAUUGUGUGGAUCAUCCCUGCGGCUCUUGCACUGCUCAGGGAUCCUGCCGUGUCCCACCUGGCAGGCGCUGGCAAAUCAAAGAUUUGCGUGAAAUUGGCAGCUGAAAGGCACAGUGGCUUCUCUGAUGGCACAGAAUGCUGGGGAGGAGGCUUGACUUCCGUCAGAAAACCCUGGGGAGAUAACGAGCAGAGAUAGAGUGGCCACAGGGAUGUCCAAGAUGGAAAUGGGGGUGUGCAACAACCUGCUUAUCUGGGGUUUGACUUGAGGACAAGGCAUAUCCUGGCUUUCCACACCCCCUACAUUUCCACCAUGGGGCACCUCAGUUGCCCAGAGUGUCUCCAGGGAUCUGAAUCUCCUGGGGAGAACAAGUUGCACAGUGGACCUGAAUGCCAUUAAAGUGGCUGUCCCCAGGCUUAAAGCAGCCUCUGGCUGAAAGGAUGAGGUGAUCUGGGGACAGAUGACCUGUCUCUACCCAUGGGGCCACAAGAAGGCAGGAUGACUGGAACUGAGAUCCCAGGCUGCUGGCACUACCAGCAUCAUCAAAAAUGUGUGUUCUGGGGGCCAGUGGAGAUUAUGGGAGCAUGUGAUAUUGAGUCUUAAUAAAAAUACACCCAGAUAAUAACA